rnacentral:rRNA from 1 species
GAUGAACGCUAGCUACAGGCUUAACACAUGCAAGUCGAGGGGAAACGACAUCGAAAGCUUGCUUUUGAUGGGCGUCGACCGGCGCACGGGUGAGUAACGCGUAUCCAACCUGCCCAUCACUUGGGAAUAACCUUGCGAAAGUAAGACUAAUACCCAAUGAUAUCCCACGAAGGCAUCGGAAUGGGAUUAAAGAUUUAUCGGUGAUGGAUGGGGAUGCGUCUGAUUAGCUUGUUGGCGGGGUAACGGCCCACCAAGGCAACGAUCAGUAGGGGUUCUGAGAGGAAGGUCCCCCACAUUGGAACUGAGACACGGUCCAAACUCCUACGGGAGGCAGCAGUGAGGAAUAUUGGGCAAGGGGCGAGAGCCUGAACCAGCCAAGUAGCGUGCAGGAAGACGGCCCUAUGGGUUGUAAACUGCUUUUAUAAGGGAAUAAAGUGGGUCACGUGUGACUUUUUGCAUGUACCUUAUGAAUAAGGACCGGCUAAUUCCGUG